GCGUCCUGGUGUGAUUUUCAAGACUUUCGGGGAGUUACAGUGAUCGGUUUUGGAAAACCGAUUUCGAAAAUUUGUGUGGGGUUUGUGAGUCAUGUAUUUUGGAUUUGUGGGUUGGAUACUGACCCGAUAGACCUUCGUAGAUCCGGUUGAUGAUCGUGUAUAGUUUAGAGACAGGUGCGACAUUAGUACAGGUGGGUACUUCGAGCUGGUAGUCGGUGAGAUCGUUUGGCUUU
rnacentral:lncRNA from 1 species